AAAUGAUGAGCCCAAUUAGAUGACGAGUCUGAAGAGUCGUUCAAUGUCGAAAAAACUUUUUUAAUACCAUUCAUGCCUUUCUGAAA
rnacentral:snoRNA from 1 species